UUUUUUAUGGAGAGUUUGAUCCUGGCUCAGGACGAACGCUGGCGGCGUGCUUAACACAUGCAAGUCGAACGGAAAGGCCUAGCUUGCUAGGUACUCGAGUGGCGAACGGGUGAGUAACACGUGGGUGAUCUGCCUCGUACUUCGGGAUAAGCCUGGGAAACUGGGUCUAAUACUGGAUAGGACCAUGCUUUAGUGUGUGUGGUGGAAAGUUUUUUCGGUACGAGAUGAGCCCGCGGCCUAUCAGCUUGUUGGUGGGGUAAUGGCCUACCAAGGCGUCGACGGGUAGCCGGCCUGAGAGGGUGGACGGCCACAUUGGGACUGAGAUACGGCCCAGACUCCUACGGGAGGCAGCAGUGGGGAAUAUUGCACAAUGGGCGCAAGCCUGAUGCAGCGACGCCGCGUGGGGGAUGACGGCCUUCGGGUUGUAAACCUCUUUCGCUAGGGACGAAGCUUUUGUGACGGUACCUAGAUAAGAAGCACCGGCUAACUACGUGCCAGCAGCCGCGGUAAUACGUAGGGUGCGAGCGUUGUCCGGAAUUACUGGGCGUAAAGAGCUCGUAGGUGGUUUGUCGCGUCGUCUGUGAAAUUCCGGGGCUUAACUUCGGGCGUGCAGGCGAUACGGGCAUAACUUGAGUGCUGUAGGGGAGACUGGAAUUCCUGGUGUAGCGGUGGAAUGCGCAGAUAUCAGGAGGAACACCGAUGGCGAAGGCAGGUCUCUGGGCAGUAACUGACGCUGAGGAGCGAAAGCAUGGGGAGCGAACAGGAUUAGAUACCCUGGUAGUCCAUGCCGUAAACGGUGGGCGCUAGGUGUGAGGGUCUUCCACGACUUUCGUGCCGUAGCUAACGCAUUAAGCGCCC
rnacentral:rRNA from 1 species